rnacentral:rRNA from 1 species
UCUGGCUCAGGACGAACGCUGGCGGCGUGCUUAACACAUGCAAGUCGAGCGGAAAGGCCCCUUCGGGGGUACUCGAGCGGCGAACGGGUGAGUAACACGUGAGCAACCUGCCCUCGACUCUGGGAUAAGCCUGGGAAACCGGGUCUAAUACCGGAUACGACCUGCCUCCGCAUGGGGGUGGGUGGAAAGGUGCCCUGUUUGGGGUUUCCGGUCGGGGAUGGGCUCGCGGCCUAUCAGCUUGUUGGUGGGGUAACGGCCUACCAAGGCGACGACGGGUAGCCGGCCUGAGAGGGCGACCGGCCACACUGGGACUGAGACACGGCCCAGACUCCUACGGGAGGCAGCAGUGGGGAAUAUUGCGCAAUGGGCGGAAGCCUGACGCAGCGACGCCGCGUGGGGGAUGAAGGCCUUCGGGUUGUAAACCUCUUUCGGCAGGGACGAAGGUGACGUGUACCUGCGGAAGAAGCGCCGGCUAACUACGUGCCAGCAGCCGCGGUAAUACGUAGGGCGCGAGCGUUGUCCGGAAUUAUUGGGCGUAAAGAGCUCGUAGGCGGCUGGUCGCGUCUGCCGUGAAAGCCCGCGGCUUAACCGUGGGUCUGCGGUGGAUACGGGCCGGCUAGAGGCAGGCAGGGGCAAGUGGAAUUCCUGGUGUAGCGGUGAAAUGCGCAGAUAUCAGGAGGAACACCGGUGGCGAAGGCGGCUUGCUGGGCCUGUCCUGACGCUGAG